ACAGAGGUGGCAAGCGUUGUUCGGAAUUACUGGGCGUAAAGCGCGUGUAGGCGGCUCUUCAAGUCAAGCGUGAAAGCCCCGGGCUCAACUCGGGAACUGCGCUUGAUACUGUCGAGCUAGAGUGUGGAAGGGGCGAUUGGAAUUCCGUGUGUAGCGGUGAAAUGCGUAGAUAUCGAGAGGAACACCUGCGGCGAAGGCGGGUUGCUGGGCUGACACUGACGCUGAUGCGCGAAAGCCAGGGGAGCGAACGGGA
rnacentral:rRNA from 1 species